rnacentral:lncRNA from 1 species
ACGGUGAUCUUAUUAGCCUGGGAGGAGAUAGAUGCACUAUAGUGUCUAGCUUAUAACCCGACCUGAGAAGUAAAGUAGUUUGGGAGGAGAUAGAUGUCCUAUAGUGUCCUGAGCACAGUCAACACAACCAGCAAGCAAGACGUAGUACUAACACAUCUUGGAAUCUUUCAAGGAUUGUGGAUUGUAUGCAUGGAUCCACUGUGUUUUUAUGCUGUGCCAGCACUGGAAAUGCAUAAUUUUGAGCUUGCUGCCAGCCGAAGUUGUGAGCCAUAAAAACGAGCAGGCACUAGGACAGAAACAGUGAAUAAUGUGAGCUCGUCGCCAGCCAAAGCUGUGCGCCAUCAAGCGGCCAAGAGCAAGAGAGGGCGAGAGAGGUUGUUAUAUGUGAUGGAGUAGAGGGAUCCCCCAAUACAAAUCCACAAGCAAUGACUAACCUGGCAUUGUCGUGUAUUU